rnacentral:sRNA from 1 species
UAAAGCAUAAAAAAAUAGAUUGAUGACAU